rnacentral:rRNA from 1 species
UACGUAGGGUGCGAGCGUUGUCCGGAAUUAUUGGGCGUAAAGAGCUUGUAGGCGGUCUGUCGCGUCUGCUGUGAAAAUCCGGGGCUCAACCCCGGACUUGCAGUGGGUACGGGCAGACUAGAGUGUGGUAGGGGAGACUGGAAUUCCUGGUGUAGCGGUGAAAUGCGCAGAUAUCAGGAGGAACACCGAUUGCGAAGGCAGCUCGCUGGGACGUAACUGACGCUGAGACGCGAAAGCGUGGGGAGCAAACAGG